UAUGCGCCCCGGUAAGUCUUCUUCUCCCCCUAUUUUUCAGCCAGCGCCGCACUGCUACACCUCUGUCACACACGUGCUUCUCGCUCUGUUCCAGACCCCCAUACCCUCACCCCCCUAGGUCUACCGACUGUUGUUGCUGCUGCUGCUGUGGUGAUAGCCCUCGCUGUGGCGGCUACGCGUGGAAGAGGUCUUUGCCUUGCUCAGCGCGCUGCUUUGCGAGGUGCCUCUUACGGGCCUUUGCGUGCGCGUCUUUCGCUCUCUCUUUCUCAGCACGUGUGCGCGUAGGCAAGGCUACGCGAUCGAACUGAGACGGGGAGAAAGAGAGGGAGGGGGAGGACGUCCACCACGCGGCACCUCAGGGAGAACGCGAGGCGGGGGGGGUGAGAGAGGGCGCGAGAACGAACAGAAGGCGUGGAAGGAAGCCGACGCCUGCCGCUGCGUAGCGGUCGUUCGUGUGCGAGUCGCAUUCGCGAGAAAGAGUGACAUCUGCGCGCAGUGAGGGAGUGGCCAAGGGUAGUCGGAGGGCAAGAAAACGUUGGAGGCGCAAGAGGGCAAGCUGAGGCGAAGCAAUGAAGUUGACACUACGCGGCGGCAUUGCCCUGGCGGGCGCCAUGCUCUUAGCGAUCGCCGGCUUCUCCUUGUUUGAGACGUGUGUGAUAUUGGUCUUGUACCUGGCGAAGUAUGUCUUUGGCGAUGGUGCGCUGAUGCCGUUGUACCGCCUCAGCAACAUGCACCACGACUUCAUGCAGCGUACGUACCUGUGCUGGGUGGGUGGCUUGGUGGAGAACGUGCUGGGCACCAGCAUCGCCUACACAGUCGUUGAUGGCGAUGGCCAGGAGCACCUGGAGCAGCACUACAUGACGUCUGUGCGGAAUGAGGAGGGCGCAGUGGAGCGGUACCUCGACUUGGACAAGGUUCUUCGGCCGCCGUCGCAGCCCGGCAAGGCCAAGAUCAUCAUCAUGAACCACCACUGCCGCGUCGAUUGGAUCUACACGUUCAUGUACUUUGCCCGCACCCGCGGCAUUAUCAGCCACAUCCGCUACGUCCUGAAGGAGGAUUUGAAGCACCUCCCGGUGCUGGGCUGGUCGAUGGAGCUCUUUCGCUACCUCUUCCUGUCUCGCCACUGGGAGGCCGACAAGAUGUACAUGAGGCGUAUGGUCGACUUCUACAAGGCCACCGGUGACACCCCGGUCAUUCUCAUCUACCCGGAAGGCACCGACCUCUCGCCCAGCAACAUCCAGCGGUCACAGGAGUACGCCGCCAAGGUGGGGCUGCCGAAGUUCCGCCAUGUUCUGAAUCCGCGGACCACCGGCAUCGUGGCGCUCAUGGACAUGCUGGGCGGUGCCGACAGGGUGGAGGAGGUUGUGCACCUUACUAUCGCCUACACGUACCACGCCCCAGGGGAGCGCCCGAACGAGCUGUCGCUCGCCAACGGCCACCACCCGAAGAAGGUGCACAUGCUGAUCCAAAGCUACCGUGUCGCAGGAACGGCGGCCGCGGCAGCGCAGAAGAACCCGAAACACGUUUGCCCUACUGAGGAGGCCGCCCUCACCGCGUGGAUCCAUGAGUGUUUCGCGGAGAAGGAGCUGUUGCUGUCGCGGUUCCUCAUGACGAACCCAAUCGGCUUCGACGCCGCCGAUGUGCGGGCGGUGCUCGGCGAAGGCGUCGGCAUAGCCAGCUACGACGACGACGAGGAGCGCCUGCGCCACCCCAACCGACCGUGGUGGAGACGGUACUACCAGCAGGUCGGCUUUUUCGGCGCCGUCAUCGCGCCUGUGUACUGGAUCGCCUCGCCGAUCUACUAUGUCUUCUUCACGCGCUGGUGGCUGUCGACGUUGUGGGUGUUAGCCGUGCUUGUGGUCUUCAUGAAGGGCGUCAAGGCGAUCGGCGGGAUUCAGCAGUCGCUCUACCUGAAGGUGGUGACGCCGGAGGCCACGCUGAUGCAGCGGCUGCGUCGCAUGCUGAAAGGCCGACAGAUGAGGAAGGACAAGAAGAGCGACUGAGUGCAAGCUCCUCCUUCCCGGCUUCCCCAGCGCUCCUCCCUUAUCGCAGAGCGUGUCGGCAAGUCGCAGAGGUCUGUUGCCGUUGCUGCCACUCGUGCACAUGAUGCACCGCUCUCAUUUUUCUCGUGUCUUUUUCAUCUGUAUCACGUUGGGUGGGGUGCGACUGUGCUUGCCCAUCGCCCUCUUUGUCACCUCUCCUUCGGUGAGGUCGUUGUUUUGUGUGCUCAUCUGCCUCCCCGUGUGCCGAUUUCUCGCUGUGCGCAACGCGCAAUUCUGAACAAC
rnacentral:misc_RNA from 1 species